rnacentral:rRNA from 1 species
CCCUUAGAUGUUCUGGGCUGCACGCGCGCUACACUGAAGCUAUCAACACGUUUUCCCUCCCUGAGAAGGGCGGGUAACCUUUUGAAUCAGCUUCGUGGUUGGGAUCGGGGCUUGCAAUUGUUCCCCGUGAACCAGGAAUUCCUAGUAGACGCGAGUCAUAAGCUCGCAUCGAUUAAGUCCCUGCCCUUUGUACACACCGCCCGUCGCUACUACCGAUUGAACGUUUUAGUGAGGCAUUUGGACCGACGCAUCUCAGUUUAACCGCUGGUUUGUGUUGGAAAGACUUCCAAACUUGAGCGUUUAGAGGAAGUAAAAGUCGUAACA